rnacentral:rRNA from 1 species
GACGAACGCUGGCGGCGUGCUUAACACAUGCAAGUCGAACGGAAAGGCCUGCUUUCCCUUGUGGAUUGCGGGUACUCGAGUGGCGAACGGGUGAGUAACACGUGAGUGAUCUGCCCCCAACUUGGGUAUAAGCCUGGGAAACUGGGUCUAAUUCCCGAUAGGACUGCAGGGUGGUGCCUGUGGUGGAAAACGAUUUUCUAGUGGUUGGGGAUGAGCUCGCGGCCUAUCAGCUUGUUGGUGGGGUAAUGGCCUACCAAGGCGGCGACGGGUAGCCGGCCUGGGAGGGUGGACGGCCACAUUGGGACUGAGAUACGGCCCAGACUCCUACGGGAGGCAGCAGUGGGGAAUAUUGCACAAUGGGCGGAAGCCUGAUGCAGCGACGCCGCGUGGGGGAUGACGGCCUUCGGGUUGUAAACUCCUUUCGACCGCGAGGAAGCCACCUGGUUGGAAGGGUGGUGACGGUAGUGGCAGAAGAAGCACCGGCUAACUACGUG